AGAGGGAAGAAUCAACUCCCCAUCAUGGAAAAUAAAAUGUUCAGCUGGGCAAUAAUGAAGCAAAUGAGUAAUGCCCAGAAGACACUACAGAGAAUGUCUACUGGGGACUACAAACAGCCAUCAGUAUGGUGGAUUUGCAGAAGAAACUGCCCUAAGCUGUGUGUUAAAGGUGGAUGGGAAACCGGAGGAGGGCAUGGAAGGACAGGCCAGCUUCAGAGAAGGAUUUUCCCUCUUGCCCAGGAAACCCUUGGAAAUGGAUCCGCCCUCUAGCGGUUAACAAGGGAGCUGAGGAAUAAUGGGAUUUGACAUCAUUGGAAAGCACAGCCACACCCAAAAACAGGUGUGUGCACAAGAAUUUCUGAACACAGAUUUUACCAGCUACACCCACACCCUCAAUUCUACUUGAAAUUAAUCUUAAAGAAAUUUUGAAUUUGCUGAUAAUUUGAGAUCAGUAAAGAUUUUCCCUGAAAGUUCUAAGGAAAUGCUUUAUACAUAGAUUUGUCCACCCAUGCUCAAAGAAAACCCAGAAUAAAAACCUGAAUAUAAAGCAGAUGGAUUACCAAACAUGACUGAACACAGCGAGGAAUUCAUCUUCAUUUUACUUUGGCAAUAAACGUUUCUGAUUUAGAGGACUUCGCUUGGGGUUUUGGAUUGGAUUCCAGAGGUUGGCACCUACGCUCUAAAAAAUCUAAACAGAAGGAGAAAAUAAAUCACCAACUGGCACUUUAAAGACAAAGAUUUAUACCAGAUUUAAUAAACUUCCUGUCUUGCUGAGCAUGAGGAAAAUGUCGUGUUUACCCCGAUGCUCUCUGCUCCUGGCAGCGUGUGUGCUGAGUUGGAAGGGCUGCAGAAGUGGGUCACGCUCACCCAACUGGAACUCGAAAGACUCAUAGAGAGCAAGCACUGGACAAUGGCCUGGUGUCCAUGAUGUAUCCCUGCCUGUCGUUACUAAUCCUACUCAGGGCCAAGCUGGAGAGAAAUGUGAGUCAAGUCAUAUUGUCUUGUGUGGGUUCCCUAAAAGCAGACCCAAAUCGAAGAUUCAAGCACAAGCUGUUUAUUUUGGGAGUGAUUCCAGGAAACAGCAGUCAGGGGUUGGGGAAGUGAGAGAGGAAGGCAGUCUGGGAAGGUUAUGCCAUGAGGCCAGUUUCCACCAUGGGCAUGCAGAGCUUAAACCUGCUGGGGACCUCUAGGAGCCAGCAUCAAGCAUGUGCCUCAGAUUUAUCUCAACCAAGGGGCGAACGAGCUCAUGUGCCUAUCUGCUAAUUCUCUCAGGGACUGGUCAAAGGCUGCUCCCAGAAGCAUUAAUUCCUCAGGACAUUCAGCCUGUAGCACCUGUGGACAGAACAGAUGUCAGCACCAGACAAAGUACUCAAGUAAAGGGAUGCAGGUUGGAAGAGAGGGACACUCACUGAACUGUUACAGAUCUCAGAGCAACAGUGACUCUGACUCAAAACAAAGCAAACAUCCACCACAGUUAAAUCAAAUCCUUAUUUCUUUGUGACUUCUCCUUUUACUAUUUAUGGUGGUUCACACACAUGGUCUGGGAGGUGUAAACAUCUUACCAUAUCUCCCAUCAUACAUAGUUAAGCUUUCUUGGACUCAGUCAUCAUAUUUAUCCAAAAAUUAUUGACUUUCACCACUAGUAUUGCAAGCAGCCCUAAAAUUACAACUACAGCUCUGUAUGGUGACAAGGAGCAUGCACUUUCCCACUGUCUCCACAUCAACAAGUGAGAAACACCUGGAUCAAAAUUGGCAUAAACAAUCAACAUGACACUGGGUUUUGGAGUGUAAUAUGGACCUGAUUUACUUCCAGCUGGGAAAUAAAUCUUUUGCCAAACUAAGUAUAUACUCACUCACACACUG
rnacentral:lncRNA from 1 species